UUCACGCCAACAUCCACCAUGCACACAAAUAUAAUAUUUAAAGAGUAUCUUACAAAGCCCCAGAUAUUGGCUCUUUCAAUUAAUAUUACCAACAUUCUCCAUAUUCCCAUUGAUCUAUAUUAAUAUAGAUGUCUCAUUUGAAAGGCCUUUCUGGAUGAAGAUUGGAAAGCAAAUCAGAUUAGCUCCUCAGGGCAGGUUAUCCCACGUCAUCUCCACCAGGCUUUGGAAGUAUUUUGCCUCAAGAUGUUUGCCAACCCUCCUCUUACCAAAAUGUGGCAGCAAAGACACUUCAUAACUUAAGUGCCCGAGCAGAGCCAAGAUAAGAUUGCACUCUCAGAAGACAUUACAGUGUUCUAUGUGGGGAAGAAAUGGACAGGGAGAUCCAGGAAGAAAUAGGCAACCAAGCUAAAAAAAAAAAAAAAAGUUUCUGUCUUCCACAAUAAGCAUGUCGAUCUCAUUUUGAAGAGAGUCUUACUGGUGCAUCCUCUGGAAGCAUUGGGCAUUUCAUUCAUCCUUUUUGGGGCCUGGGAGAACGGAUGCCAGGCUUUCAACAAAUACCAUAGUGUUUUUAGCCAUAUGGAGUUAGAUGGGCGGGGUUUGAUGUUGUAAUUGGUUUGGAUAUGAGGUUCCUGUACUGGAAACCGCAUGAGUAUAGUGACCAUUUUCAACAGCAGCACUAACUGGUGGACCAGCAGUGUGCUGAGUGGAGCAUGUGGGAACAGGCAGGCCAGGCAUAUAUACAUGGAGAAAUAAAAGAAGAACAGAACAAAGGGCA
rnacentral:lncRNA from 1 species